GGUUGCUUUUCUGACUUUCUAAUCAAAUGAGGGAUAAGUUAAAACUGUAUGAUCCAUGACGCUUUCAACUUCAAAAAUGGACAAGGAAAAGACAAUCCUCCCUGCAUUAUAAAGAAUUGUGAUCUGGUCUCCGAUAAUAGCCCAUUACAUGUUCUCGAUAUGGAUGCCAAGAUAUACCUCUCAGGGUUUACUCUCAAGGAAAAAUAUUCAAUCCUACAAAUUUAAAACACACUCUACCAAGUGGUGCUUGCUGUAUUAUUCAAGGAAUAUAAGUUACUAGAUGUGAGUUCCAAUCGUCCCAGGUGCAGCUCACAGCCCGAUCAUACCAAAGACAAUAUCCAAAAAAGCAAAUGGUUCACAAAUGGUUCGCAAGAAACAACCAAAUUGCAGUUUUGAAAUUUAUUGAACACAGUCACAAAAAUAAUGAAUCGCCGUGGGCAGCUCCACAAUUGCUAAACACGAUCUACCUAGGUUUCGUCCGUAUAACACAGACUUCUUCAGAAUAAUGUGUUACUCAGCUUAGCCACUUUUAUACAUGUUAAAAACAAUUAAUGUACGUCAAUAAAACAAUAAAACGAAACAAUUAAGCAAUUGAACAGCUGAACAAAACUCAAUCAUUUCCUUUUCUUUGUCUUGUAAUUACACGUAGAACUGUAUUUGAAAACCUACAUAAUGAUAUAUUUGAUGAUUAAUGCUCUA